UACGUAGGGUGCGAGCGUUUAAUCGGAAUUACUGGGCGUAAAGUGUGCGCAGGCGGCGCUGCAAGUCGAGUGUGAAAUCCCCGAGCUUAACUUGGGAAUUGCGCUCGAAACUACGGCGCUGGAGUAUGGCAGAGGAAGGUGGAAUUCCACGUGUAGCGGUGAAAUGCGUAGAGAUGUGGAGGAACACCGAUGGCGAAGGCAGGCUUCUGGGCCAAUACUGACGCUCAUGCACGAAAGCGUGGGGAGCAAACAGG
rnacentral:rRNA from 1 species